GUCACAGCAAUCAGAUUUUGUUUAUGUCUACUCUUUCGUCUCAUUGGACAAACUAUAGCAGAGUGAAAAUGAAAGUGCUCACGCUUAUGGUUCCCGGGCUAGUGCUGCACCAUGCGGACGAUACUGAGAGGUGAUCCACGUUAGCAUAUGCAAGAACCUAUAAGUUAGAGAUCUAUCUUGUUUAAUUCUACGCUACAAGAACCUAUUAAUUGUACGGUUAGAUGGAAAAGUUUAUAUCUAUUUUUCUAUUCGAGAUAGACAACGGCUAACUACGCUAACAAAGAAAAAAUUGUCGUGUAAACGGCUAGCACGGUUUAUGACUGAAAAACUAUUUUUGAGAAAGCCAUGAUUUCCAAGAAAGAACAUUCCAUAAGGCAUGAUUCUUUAGAGUUUUUCAGUACGGACUCAAUAGCAAAUUGGUGGUAUCAUAAACCCGUUUCGUCACUCACAUCCCCUGGCAACGAUAUCAAACGUGCUGCUGAAAAUACGUGAAGUUUCCACGGAGAAAAAAUUGUCAAAUAGAGUAGAGACUCCAUUGUGUAUAGAUGUAACCAUUUUCAGUAAAAAUUAAAUGUUAGAAGCUGACCUUAUCAUUAUAUUGAACACGCCUCUGAUCUACCUUACAAUAUUUUUGUUAGGGAAAACAAGAGAAUAUUCGCUUUCAACCGAUAAUGGAUCAGUAGAAUAAUUCAAUAAUUUUAAUAUGUUUUCUAUACACCAUUCAGAUUUAACAUUAACUCUUGGCACUUGGCAUGUCAAUUAUAUUGGCAUGAAUAUUUUUUAAGGCACUUCGUCGAUUUUACAGUAUAGAGCUGAGCGGAUGCGCUGUUCUUUCGUUUAAGAAUAGGUGAAAACUGUUAUGUCGUUGAAGAAAGGGCCUUCACAAGAUUGCGGGAAAGCUCUUUGAGGGACUGCUGCUUUAUAAUAUAUACAUCCUUCCAGAGUCAUCAGAUCCGUCGCAUAUAACCCAUGUUAGCAGAAACAACAAAUAGAUCUGGACCUUUCCAAUGGAUGGUUAAAUAAUAGUAAAAAAACAAGAAAAUGUUUUAGAAAUAUUGAAAAACAUAAAUAAAAUCAUUAAAUUUUAGUUUUCUGUCAAAUAUUAACAAUCAAAUAUGUGUAUUUUUCAUCAUUAUGAUACUAAGUGCUUAAUGUUAAUUGUGUAUAUAUUGUUUAUCCUUUUUUGUUAUUUAUCAUUCGAAUAAAUUUUGGUUGCUAAUUGUAACAAGUUUACAAACUGACAAGCAGAAACAAUAGCGUAGCGAUCAACGGAUUGUGGUAUGGACUACGAUACGGUGAGGGCUUGGUGGGCCUUUAUGACAUCGCCGAAAAAUUGCUCACGAGACAUUUCCAUGCUAGUCCGUGCUAAAUCGGCCUUCAAGGCACUCGAACAUGGCUUCAGUGGAAACGGUCUCAUAUAUUUGUAUGAAACCAAUUUUUCAAGUAAUUUUCCAGUUUAGCUUAUCUAUGGGAAUGGUUCCAUAUAAAUACAUUGAAGCAAAUUGUUUCAUUUUUUAUUGUCAAUGAAUCUUUAGUUUAAGGCUUACAUUUGUUUAAUAGGUGAUAAAAAUAGUCACGAACAUGAUGUACCAUAGCAUACUAGCCCAUUGUUCUUUCUAUUUUUCUCGUGUCAUUACAUAUUGUUAUUUAUAAUGUUAAGCAUUUAAACAAAAGGCGGUCUUUGGAUACAAUCUCAGGUACAAUUGCAAAUAGCUUUCCUGCAAACAACAUUAUAUUAAGAUACUGACAUGCCGAGGAGGAUCUGGAUCUCCUGACUUGCACAAUGGCCCAUUGGGUAGCAUUAGGGGAUAGACGGGUGGUCUUUCCCAAUGCCCGAACUAACCAAGGAACGACUCCCUCAGACAGGAGAAGACGCAGGAGUGCUCCAGCAGUAAUUCGAAAGAGGUCCUGGGGCAUCCCAGCCGAGCGUCCGGCGGUUCAUCGUGGGGUUAUAGUCGGUAAAGUCCGACAUUACCCUCCGCUUCCCAGAAGAGCGGGGGAGGGGGAAGGGUGUCCAUGAGGAUUUUCCCACGUAUAAAAAAAAAACAACAUUAUAUUAAUCAUAAUAUAAACAUCUAUUUUAAUUUCAUUAUACAAAUUAAUAUACAUAAUUUAGUUUUAUAAUCUUAUUAUUUUAAAUCAGAGUCAAUUAUUUCAACAAUUCUUAAAAUUAAUGAAAUCUUUGUUAGACAUGUGCAUGAGGUUUCAUCUAUUAGACUGUCUAUUUUUAUAAUAUAUUACUAUGGAUCAUUGUUGAAUUUAUCGUAUUAUUUAUAAAGACUAAUAAUCAACAUAUAACAUUUGAUAAGGCCAUAUCAGAUUUGAAAUUUUAUAUACCAGCACCAGCAAAACCAUUUUCGUGUUAUAGUUAUUUGGUGAAAAAUUACCAAUUGCUUCAAAUAUAAAAAUAAGAAGAAAUUAUGAAGCAAGGAAUCAUUCAUAUGUAUUAUAUUGCAGGUACUCAAAAGUUUCAGACAAAAACUAACUGGGUCCUUAGAACUAAUGGGAAUUUGAUGCAAGUCGGUUUAUUCUAGAACAGCAAGUAAUAAAAAUUGUUCUUGUACCGUGAACGACAAAGAUUAUUUGUUUGUAUUUUCGGAAGUAAGUAAAUUUUUAUUUUUUCGUUAUUUUCCUAAUAUCUGGUAAAAUUUUUGAGAUUUGCCUUGAUCGCUGUAAUAAAAAUGAAAUCCUAUAGCAGAGUGUGAGUAUUAAUAUAGCGUAAGGCAACCAGCAACCAAUAUUGACGCAUGCGCUGCCACAAAUGUACAAUUGUAUCCAAAAUUCACUGUAGUAGUAGUGACUGUUUUUUGCAAAUAUCUCGGAAAUUAAGGCUGACCGCCAGUAAUAUGUAUAAAAAGAAGUCGUUCUUAAUCAUGCCCACCAUUGCAUAUUAAAAAAUCAUCGAAAUCGAUGAGAUUUUCUUUUAUACAUUUAUCGUAACUUUUUGUAAUACAUACACUGAUUUUUCCUGCAUUAUUGUUUCAAAAUUCUACAAAAUUCAGAUUUUAAAAUAAUUAUAUUUCUCGAAGCCGUUGCGAAUGUGUAUGCAAUUUUCUAAAAGAUUAUAACAAGAAAUUCAAAACUAUGUAAUAACUUGCUUUUAUAUUUAUAUAUUGUAAAAAUAUUUAUUUUUAAACAAAUUACUACCUUUUCGAAACUUUCCUUCGAAUUUUUAUUUCUGUUAACAACUCUUUAAAUAAAUAAUAAAAUAAGUAUUUAAGUAAUAAAAAAUAAAAAUAAGUAUUUUAGAAUCUUUUGAGAUUUUUUGGAAGUCAGAAGAAUAGUAAAAAAAUUAAUUAUAGAUGACUCAGAUUGCCCAUGGAAGAUGCAAAAAAUAUGCUUGCUCAUAGAGGGUUAAGUACUAACAUCUAACAAAGUUUUAUAAGAUAAUAUCUUAAAUUAUAAUACUUUAAUAAUUUUUCUUACCUAUGAAAUAUUUUGUACAACAGAACCUCAAUUAUCCAAACAUGUUUCCCAUGUAAGCAGUUCACUCCUCUAAAUAAAUUUUUGUUAGAUGUCAAUAUUAUCA